AGGGGUGUAGCUCAAUGGUAGAGGGCUUGCCUAGCAUGCAUCAAAGUUCUGGGUUCAUUCCCCAGUACUUCAA
rnacentral:tRNA from 1 species